UACGUAGGCAGCGAGCGUUGUUCGGAGUUACUGGGCGUAAAGGGUGUGUAGGCGGUUUUCUAAGUUUGGUGUGAAAUCUCCCGGCUCAACCGGGAGGGUGCGCCGAAAACUGGGAGACUAGAGUGCGGGAUGGGAGAGUAGAAUUCCGUGGUGUAGCGGUGAAAUGCGUAGAUAUCGUAAGGAAGACCAGUGGCGAAGGCGGGUCUCUGGACAGUUCCUGACGCUGAGGCACGAAGGCCAGGGGAGCAAACGG
rnacentral:rRNA from 1 species